UACGUAGGGGGCGAGCGUUGUCCGGAUUUACUGGGCGUAAAGAGCGCGUAGGCGGAAAUUUAAGCGUGGCCUGAAAGCCCCCGGCUCAACCGGGGAGUGCGGCUGCGAACUGGGUUUCUUGAGGACGAUAGAGGAGAGUGGAAUUCCUGGUGUAGCGGUGGAAUGCGUAGAGAUCCGGAAGAACACCGGUGGCGAAGGCGGUCUGCUGGGCGAUGGGAGCGUAAGCUCCUCUUAGCCGACACUGAGGCGCGACAGCAGUGGGGAGCAAACAGG
rnacentral:rRNA from 1 species